UAUCCCCUAGAGCAUCGAACUUCUUUCUCAUGCACACCUCUUUGUUCUCCUCUUGUCCUUCGUCGCACAAACUUCUUUCUCACGUCACACACGACCUCUUCAAUCUCCUCUUCUCCUUCACCGAACUUUUUUCUCACACCCUCACGCCGCACACAACCUCUUCGAUCUCCUCUUGUUCGAUCUUCUUUGAUCUUCUUCGAUCUCCUCUUCUCCUGACACCAUAAAUUGCUUCAAGUUUCCCAUGUCGCCUCAUUCUCCUUCGAUCUUCUCUUCUCCCAAUGUCACAGCUCUUUCUCAUGGCGCGCACAGUUUUAUUUUUUGCACACCGCCGUAUUUCUUUCUCACGCCGCAAUUCGUCGCUCGCACAGACCUGAUCCACUGUCUUUUCCAGCAACACACCGAAGCCACCUUUCAUCUUCUCUUAGGAAAGUACCCAAGUACGGAAGAAGCACUAUAAGAGAAAGCUAGGAUAUAGUUGUGGAUGAAGAAACCCACUACGACAUGUCUAAGGUCCAACAGCACGAUCGAGUGGAUGUCGGGCAUGUAGGGAAGAAGAUGAGUUCAUUAUUAUGAAGGAAUAAAGGUGAAGCUCCAUUUGCAACAAUCAUCUCCCGGCAUGAUGCAAAACAUUUGAUAGAUUCACAGA